AGGGGGCAAGCGUUAUCCGGAUUUACUGGGUGUAAAGGGAGCGUAGACGGCAGUGCAAGUCUGAAGUGAAAACCCGGGGCUCAACCCCGGGACUGCUUUGGAAACUGUCCAUCUAGAGUGCCGGAGAGGUAAGCGGAAUUCCUAGUGUAGCGGUGAAAUGCGUAGAUAUUAGGAGGAACACCAGUGGCGAAGGCGGCUUACUGGACGGUAACUGACGUUGAGGCUCGAAAGCGUGGGGAGCAA
rnacentral:rRNA from 1 species